rnacentral:rRNA from 1 species
UACGUAGGUGGCAAGCGUUGUCCGGAUUUACUGGGCGUAAAGAGCGCGCAGGCGGUUCGUUAAGUCAGCUGUGAAAGCCCCGGGCUCAACCUGGGAAUUGCGGUUGAAACUGGCGAACUAGAAUCUGGCAGAGGGGGGUGGAAUUCCACGUGUAGCAGUGAAAUGCGUAGAGAUGUGGAGGAACACCGAUGGCGAAGGCAGCCCCCUGGGCUGAGAUUGACGCUCAGGCACGAAAGCGUGGGGAGCAAACAGG